rnacentral:rRNA from 1 species
CCUACGGGAGACAGCAGUGGGGAAUAUUGCACAAUGGGGGAAACCCUGAUGCAGCGACGCCGCGUGAGAGAUGAAGUAUUUCGGUAUGUAAAGCUCUAUCAGCAGGGAAGAAACUGACGGUACCUGACUAAGAAGCCCCGGCUAACUACGGGCCAGCAGCCGCGGUAUUACGUAGGGGGCAAGCGUUAUCCGGAUUUACGGGGUGUAAAGGGGGCGUAGACGGCUUGGCAAGCCAGAUGUAAAAGGCUGGGGCUCAACCCCAGGACGUCAUUUGGAACUGUCAUGCUAGAGUAUGGGAGGGGUAGGUGGAAUUCUUGGUGUAGGGGUAAAAGCCG